AUGGAUCUUCGUCAGGCCGUGGCACAUCCCCGUCGGCGGCGGCAAAAGAUGAAGAUCUCUGUGAAGACCCUCACUGGAAAAACAAUUGUCAUCGAGGUGGCGUCCUCUGACACGAGUGACAACAUCAAGGACAAAAUUCAGGAGAAGGAGGGCAUUCCCCCAGACCAGCAACGACUUAUCUUUAAUGGAAGACACCUUGAUGCUGAGUGGACAGUUUCAGAUUACAAUAUUCAGGAGCAGUCCACCCUGCACCUUGUCCUGCGCCUUGGUGGUCCUUGUACCGUUUGUUGUUAUAGAUAUAUUAAUGUGCAGAUGCUCGCUGGCAAGACCGUCAGCAUCGAGGUAGAUCCAACGGACACGGUUGACACUAUCAGGGAAAAGAUUUGUGCUCCCCAGAGGCUCUUCUUUGCUGGCAAGCAGCUUGAGGAUGGACGGACAAUUGCAGACUACGAAUUUGGGAACAAUAUCAGUCUGCACCUCGACUUUGGCAUGCAGAUUUUCGUGAAGACUGCCAUUGGUAAGACCACCACUCUCCUGGUAGAGCCGUCUGACACGAUCGACAGCAUUAAGGAGAAGAUUCAGGGCAAGCAAAGGAUCAUCUUCGAUGGGAAACAGCUAGAUGGUCAGGGCACCCUUACUGAUUACAACAUUAAGAGAGGCUCCACCCUAUACCUUCGUCCCAGCAAGAAUGGUGACAUGCAGAUUCUUGUGAAGACACAAACCAGCGAAACCAUCAGGCUCAUGUUUAAACUUUCUGACACUAUUGGUGAUGUGAAGGCAAAGAUUCAGGAGAAGCAAAGGAUCAUGUUUGAGGGCAGGAAGCUAGAUGAUGGGCGGUCUACCCUUGCCGAUUAUGAUAUCCAGGAAGAGUCCAUCUUGCACCUUGACUUUGGCAUGGAGAUAUUUGUGAAGACACCCACGGGCAAGACCAUCACUCUUAACGUGGAUCCAUCUGACACAGUUGACAGCGUUAAGGAAAAGAUUCAUGGAAAUCAGAUUCUCCUCUUUGGUGGCAAGGAGCUUGAAAGUGGACAGACACUUGAGGAUUAUGAUAUCCAGGGAGGGUCAACAUUGCAUGUUGAGGAUUGUCUUACUGAAGGAUGA
rnacentral:rRNA from 1 species